CUGCAGCCAAUUAAGCUGACCAUAUUCCUUCCCUCUGGAGCGAGUGAACAGUGAGGACAAGUACCCGCCUCCUGGGCAGUAUUUGCAGUCUGAUGUCUCAUACAGGCUGCCCGCAGUGACCUUGGAGACAGUC
ensembl:snoRNA SNORA70 Small nucleolar RNA SNORA70